GGCUUAGAGUUUGAUCAUGGCUCAGGACGAACGCUGGCGGCGCGCCUAACACAUGCAAGUCGAACGGAACUUGAGAGAGCUUGCUUUUUCAAGCUUAGUGGCGAACGGGUGAGUAACGCGUGAGUAACCUGCCCUGGAGUGGGGGACAACAGUUGGAAACGACUGCUAAUACCGCAUAAGCCCACGGUGCCGCAUGGCACAGCGGGAAAAGGAUUUAUUCGCUUCAGGAUGGACUCGCGUCCAAUUAGCUAGUUGGUGAGGUAACGGCCCACCAAGGCGACGAUUGGUAGCCGGACUGAGAGGUUGAACGGCCACAUUGGGACUGAGACACGGCCCAGACUCCUACGGGAGGCAGCAGUGGGGGAUAUUGCACAAUGGGGGAAACCCUGAUGCAGCGACGCCGCGUGGAGGAAGAAGGUUUUCGGAUUGUAAACUCCUAUCGUUAGGGACGAAUCAUGACGGUACCUAACAAGAAAGCACCGGCUAACUACGUGCCAGCAGCCGCGGUAAAACGUAGGGUGCAAGCGUUGUCCGGAAUUACUGGGUGUAAAGGGAGCGCAGGCGGACCGGCAAGUUGGAAGUGAAUCUAUGGGCUCAACCCAUAAAUUGCUUUCAAAACUGCUGGCCUUGAGUAGUGCAGAGGUAGGUG
rnacentral:rRNA from 1 species